GUCAGCGGCAGGGGGGCGGUGAGGUCGGGGUUCUCCAGCUGCAGUGUGGCACACCUUCGUCCCGUGUUCCUUGAGCGACCGGCAAGGCGUGGUCUCGUCCAGCUCACGUGCCCUUUUAACUCCGUUGAGGCCCAUGGAGAGAGCGAAGCUGAGAGACGCAGAGCAGUCUUCCUGAGGUCUCCCAUCCGGUGCGAGGUAGACCCGGAUUCUGAGCACAGGCCCUCGACCCGAAAUAUCCACUGCGGGGACCCUGAGACCUUUUUCCUCUGUUGGAGUCCCCAGAGUUUUGGCAAACUCUCAUUUGUCUCCUGGGGGACAGGAACCUCACUCUUAGACCGUAGCUCGGGGUAGAGGCCGCUGUCGGCUUAGCUUUUUGGGUCUUUGUUCCGGGCUGUGGUUGAGAACAGGAUUGCGUUGGUGCCCGUCAGGAACACCCCAGUCUAGAAGCUGGAGAAUAAGCUCCACUGAAGUCGUGGGAGGGUAUUUACACCCGGCCACCCUCUCACUUCUCUUUACCUUCCUCAGAUAGGCUUUCAGAAAUUUCGUUCUUCUCUAGGACGUCCACGUGGCCUGAAGUAGGGAGAAAAAAAGGAUUUACUAAAAUUCCUUCUUAGCUUUCGGAAAACGAAUCCAUCCCCUUCUUUUGCCCCGCUGCUUUGUUCAUAGUGAAUUCAGUUCAUCCCUGGCUCUGGAGAAGUGCCUCGUCUUACUUGGAGCCCUCUAUCGACAGUUCCUCUCUGCCCCACCCAUGACUUAUUCACCAAGAAAUUAGCUGUUAACACCCAUGGAGGUUCAAAGUAACAAUGCAGGGACGUCCAUGUGUAAGUGUCCAGUGAUGCUUGCUGUAUGCCAAGGGUGGAGAUGGCUGGGAUCCCAGGGGCCUUGGAGAUGAAAAAACAAGGAAGACUUCCAGGAUAAGAGACUGCCUGAGCUUCCCUGAGGGGAGUAGGUGAGAGGAAGAGUUGGAGAAGGACCGGCCAGUGGGAAGAGAGCAGGAAGUGAAGUCAGAGUCUCAGAGGCCUAGUCACUGGGUAAACUUCCCUGGCCUCAGUGAGGGAGGUUUUCAAAGGAAAAAUGGUCUUGUGUCUGGCUGAUUUUCUGUGCAUAUAGGCAAGGAUACCGUGUGGCUGUUCACAUGUGGCAUACAGAUAUUCUUCGCUGCCCAUUC